rnacentral:sRNA from 1 species
CAGGUCCACUCUCCACUCUCAAGAAGGGGCCAGAGUGUUUUUUUUUUUUACAUUUUACAUCUACUCCAUACACCAAUCACUCAUGGGCCAUGGCCCGGGACAUGGGACUUCGAGCAUCUAACGUGUAAAUUGGAAAUGGGAGGUGAGCAAAAACCAAUUGCUAGUUUGCUUUCUUUGCCUAUAUUAACACCAUCUAGAAAGCCAUCGUCUUCAACCGCUCCUGUCUGUGGUGUGUAAUAGAUGAGAGAAACGGAGAGUCUUAGCAAGUCUUUGGAGAUGGGAGAGUAUGCAAGAAGGAAAAAUUCAUGAUUUAAUAUCCCUUCUUGCCUACUCCUCCCAUUCCAUCUGCUUUCUGCGACUCCUCUCUUUCCUUAUUCUAGACAAAAGCGUGAUCUCAAAUUAAUCAAGGAGCAAGAGGGAAAGGAAAGAGGGUUGCUGGGAGUUACGGGUAUGGGAGGAUUGGACAGGACUGCUUGGUUUUAAUCAACCAAAGUCUGUUCUUUCCAACGCCUCCCAUACCGGUGAUCUCCAGCUGUUUCCUCCCUUUCCCUUGCUUGUCCUGCUUCAGAUCCUUCAGUUUGGUAAGAUCUGCCCCUGUAUGCAUGUCGUUGGUCUCAUGAUGAUGAUGAUGAUGAUGGCUCUUCUUUUGUUGUUGAAAAAAAAAAAUCGUUUCGUUGACUUGUUAAUCUUGCUUUUACUCGGGAUAUUAUUGUGUGUCUUGUUGAAAGAUUUUAUUGCCCUUUUUUUUUGCUCAGGUGCCAGAAGCGAGUUGUUGGUUAUGGAGUAUCAUCAUUGAGAAUAAAGGAAGUUGAGAUCUGGAGGUAGAUCUGAGUAAAACAUUUGUCAUUCCAGCUCAAUUUAAUAUUAGCAACUGAUAAAGCAUGUGUUUUGAAAUGACAACUGCGAUAGUCACAACAUAUCUGUUCACGCCUCUUCGACUCCGGGGAUUCUGACUCAGUUAGUUCUAUACUGCAACGGUUAAGUAUCUCUGAUGCUCAUGGAUCUGGUCUUGGACUUUGGAAUUUAUAUUGAUCUUCAGCCCCCGCGCAUCCGCUACUAUGGAUGACCCCGACCUGAGUCAUACGACGGACGGAUGAUGCAUAUCCUACGGGUGUGGUCAGCUUUGUUU